UACAGAGGUCUCAAGCGUUGUUCGGAUUCAUUGGGCGUAAAAGGGUGUGUAGGUGGCGCCGUAAGUCGGGUGUGAAAUUUCGGAGCUUAACUCCGAAACUGCAUUCGAUACUGCGGUGCUUGAGGACUGGAGAGGAGACUGGAAUUCAUGGUGUAGCAGUGAAAUGCGUAGAGAUCAUGAGGAAGACCAGUGGCGAAGGCGGGUCUCUGGACAGUUCCUGACACUGAGACACGAAGGCCAGGGGAGCAAACGGG
rnacentral:rRNA from 1 species